UGUAGGGUUUUUGCCAAAAGCUUUGUCGUUUUUGAAAAACCAAGACUGUGGCAACACUAACAGAGGAAUGGGGUUAAGAAAGAGAGAGAGACUGCAGGGCAAGAGAUAGAACAGAGAGCAGGCAACUGAGAGGAAAAGGAGUGCUUCUUAUCGGAGAGCCCGUUUGGUGUUUAUGAAAUGAAAGUGGCUAAUAGCAAUGAGGUAAUCCAGUCCGACAUACUCCAUCCAGGCAAGAUGGCAGGUCUAACAAGCAGUGUUCCCCAGAGAUCUCCUGUCUUGGGCCCAUCACACGCCUCACUGGCACCCUGUACAGCACUUCUCUUCUCACAAGCAAAGAGGAACGAUGUACUCAAGAUCAACUUCCUCCAGGGAAAAGUAAUUUAAUGUCUGUGGCGUGUGAACUUCUGUCUCAAACACAUCCUUUCUCACCUUUUCCAUCUCAUGCGACUGGACUAAUUGGCAAGCACUUAACAUCCUAUUUCUGGAAGCCUUUAGCCUGGUUGACCAUAUCAAUAUUACGUGUUUAAGAAUGUUGAUGUUGUCACUAGUAAAGACAUUACAAUAACCAUUACAAUCAUACAUACUUUGAUUGUUUUUUGUUGCAAAAGUCACAUACUGUAUGCUGUACUGGUCUGAAACUUGCCUGCAAAAUACACUUAUUUUAGUUCUGUGAUCAAAUAUAUAAACAAUAAUGCAUACAGCAAGUGCUCUCUUCAUGACAUUAAUAAUGAAUGCUCACUCAUGCCGCUUCUUCAAUUAGACCGUCAUUGUCAACAUGGCCGUAUAGUGUGGCAAUGGGAGAUAUCGGAUAAGGUUGUCUCGUAUUCCCACAAUCAAUAGCUGGCUAGAGAAUAGAUAUAUAUAGGAUAGUGUAUUAUUUCACUCAAGGAAUCUGAUUCACCAAAUUAAAUGGAUCUUCAAGGUUAUGGACGACAGGCUCCUGAACUCAUGUCGAAAUUCUCUGACAGCAGAAUGGUUUGAUCAGAGUAAAGCUGAGAAACUCUUAUGUCAGCACAUGGGCUGUACUGUUUCAUCCCUGUACAUUUUCGGAGUACAGUUUCUCAGACAGUCUGGGCUUUAGUAAAGCAUUAGUGUUAGCAAGGAGCAGUGAUUAAUUGGUUUUGCCCAUCCUCCCUUGUGAACUGACUUCUCUCUGACCUUACAGUAAUUACAUGUGCACUCCCUCCUUAAUGAGUGAAAAGGCGUGCAGAGGAUUGAUGUGGAAUUGAUGUAUUUUCAGUUGUCGGCAUUUUUGUGUUCAUGGAAUGGCAAUCGAUACAGGCAUUGAAAUAGCAAUUGCAUUAAAGUCAAAGGGUUACGGAUGUGCAGUUGAAUGGAAUUAAAUACAGGUUAAUAAUGUGCAUUCACUUUGUAGACCACAACCAUGAUUCUAAGCAUGAAGGGUGGAACUGAUAACAAUGAACUGAUUAAAAUGGAUGUGAUGAAAAUGCAAGUGAAUUGAAAAUGGAGGGGAUGAAAAUGCAUAUGAAUUGGAAAAUAGAGUGAAAAUGGAUGUGAAUUGGAAAACAGAGCAAUAAAUUAUCAAGUGAUUAGAUUUGUUCUCGUCUUACAUUCAUAACUUCAAAAUAGACAAUUACCAUUUAAAUUUGAAAUUAAGAGACUUCAAGGGUGGUAGUAACUCAAAUGUAUUGACAAAGAUGGUGGUGAUGAAAUUGCAUGUGAAUUGAAAAAUGUAAGGGGUUAAAAAUGGAUGUGAAUUGUUAUAAAUUGUCAAUUGAUUUGAUCACCAUGAUUGACGUUUGUAAUUUAAGGGAAGAUAUGCUCUGCUUAGAAGGUCAGACUAAUGCCUUUUGCAUUCACAAAAUGUAGAUUGAAUUUUUAAUGAGAAACCUCAAUGAAAUAAACUACAGUGGACAAAGAGGGCAGCCAUAAUAACAGAGGAUUAACUCUGGCAUAUUUGAGCAACUUGCCUUCCAAGUCUUUAGACAACAUUAUGGACAAAUAAACCAUUAUUUGCUCUGUUUGCUUCCGACUCUGAUUAAGGCUCAGUAAGUGCAAACUGGGCGACCUAUUUUCAGUGACUUUCCAGAUAACAAUGUACGGCCUAGCAGUGAUGUCACAGGCUCUCAGGGUCAUCUGUCUGCCGUCUCAGCAUGAGCAUGCUCUUUUGACGUCCACACCUGAUGAACACCUCAGAUGUGAGAUGAAUGAACGACACUAGUACAAGGGGUCAGUUGACACAGCAGAUCCAGGAAGAUGAAUGUGCUUCUUCACACCGGCUCCUUCCCAGAGGAAAUAUGCAAAUACAUCUCUUGCCUAGCUACUGAAUCCUUGAAGGAGAGAUUCCUCCAUAUCAUGCUGUGCAUAGAUCCAUUCACCACAGUACCGUUGGUACACACAGUGUGAGGAUGGUGGUGGGGGAUGUUUCAUAAGCAUUUCAUGGCCUAGGAGUCUGCUGGCCUGUGUGCUCUGCAGUGAUGUCAGAACACAAUCUGGCACAUGGCUGGACCUUUAAGUACCUCAGCAGCAUGCUCAAUCUGGUGGGAUACUCAGUGAUAAUGGUAAAGAGCGUCUGCUAAAUGACUAAAAUGACUAAAUGUAAAUAAAGACAUUUGCUGAGUG